AGUCAAGACCCUCCCUCAUUGGCCCUAGACCCCUUGUCCCUACCCACUUCCCCAGGUCAUGCCAGAGCUCCUUUGCGAAGUUCUGCAGAUAUCCAAGUCCCCUUCCCAGAUAGCAGACUUUCAGGCAAGGCAUUUCAACACUCAGCACCUGCAGCUGAGGCACAUCCACAACCAAGAGCCUUUCCUCCCUGAGGAUCAACACCUCCCCCUGCCAUCCUAAGUCAAGGUCUUGACCUAAGGACUUGUAACAACCAAGCCAAAGCCCAGAGGAUGGAAGCACAUGAGAUCAUAGAAGAGCCUCAUAUCACCAUGGAUGCAGAGAAGCACCCCCCUUCAAAGGACCCCUCUGCUGAGGACUUACAGGAGAACCAUAUCUCUGAAAGCUUCUUGAAGCCUUCCACCUCUGAGACCCCGUUAGAGCCCCAUACCUCUGAAUCCCCUUUGGUGCCAUCCCCUUCCCAGAUCCCCUUAGAGGCCCAUUCCCCUGAAACCCAUCAGGAGCCUUCCAUCUCUGAGACUCCUUCAGAGACCCCUACCUAUGAGGCUUCAUUGGAUAGUCCCAUCUCAGUGGUGCCAGAGAAACACCUUACUCUUCCUCCCCAAUCACGAGACUAUGUCUGUCUGUCUUCUUCUGAUACUCUGAAGGAAGACCUCUCCUCUGAGUCUUCUUCCAAUGAGGUCCCAUGGACAAGGAGGUCUACCCAUCUCUCUGAAUCUGAGAGCCUUCCAGAACACUGUCUUUCAGGCCCUUCAUCCCAGGUCCAAGUGGACACAACCGAAAAGCAGGAGGAAGAAGCAGGAGAGGUUGAAAAGGGAGUAGAUGCCAGUGACAGCACUGCUCACACAGCCCAACCUGGACACCAACUAGGUAACACAGCCCGCCCAGUGUUCCCUGCUAGGCAGACAGAGCUGGUGGAAGUGGCUAAGGCAAUGCAUAGAGAGGAGUUUGGUGCUCAAGUGAACAAUCUUUUCCAGUGGGAGAAGGAUGCAGCCCUGAAUGCCAUCCAGACAGACAGAAUUCGGAACUCCUCUAGUGGAAUCCUGGCUCCCGCCCACCUGCAUUGUGACUGCCUAUACCUUGCUCUCUCAACAAAGCCUCCCUGGUGUAAGGGGGCACUGGCACUACAGGCAAUCAGCAUCAAGACAGAAGAAGCAAAGCCAAAAGCCACAUCUAGACAGGCUUUAGAUCCUGACAGACUAUGGGUCUCUACAUUGGCUGGCGCUGCCCCCAUUACCUAUGGGACUGUUUCCGGAUUGGGGAUGAGUCCAGAUGCUUUUGUGGACACUUGUUGAGAGAGCACCGGAUCAUCUCAGACAUAUCGGUGCCCUGCAAGGUAAGCCAGUGCCGCUGCUUCAUGUUCUGCUUUAUCCCAUCACGCCCAGAGGAGGUGGGUGAGUUCUGGCUCAAGAGACGGGCCACCUUUGACCCCAAGGCCUGGAGGGCCCAAUGUCGCUGCAAACACAGCCACGAAGAACAUGCAGCCACUGGGCCCCAUCCCUGCAGGCAUCAUGGCUGUUGCUGCGGCUGUUUUGAGUCUAAUUUCCUCUGUGCGGCCUGUGACCGGCGCUGGGAGGAACACGAGACUUUCUUUGACACCCAGAAGACCCGGCAACGAGGAGGAAGGCCUCGCGGGACAGACACUGUCAGCAACUGGCACAGGCCUUUGUGAGUCUGGCCCAGAUCAGCAAUAAAAGAGGAGUCAUUGGAACCUGACUUGGCUCUAUAUGGGGCAGGUAGAUCCCAGCCCAGGGAGAGACUGCCUAAUAACUUAGAGUUGACACCUAUUAGACACAGGAGAAAGCCUGGAUCUGGCCAUCUGCCUCCAUCACACUCACAUUCAAGCUGCCUGUUGAAGGAAAGUGGCUUCAAGGAAGUCAAGAAGGGAGGAAGUUUCAAGAAGGAUAGAGUGGGAAGUGAUGUUAGAUGCAGUUGGGGCACCAAUAAGAUAAAGACUGAAAAGUGUCCAUUGGGUUUUGCAAUUAGAAGAUCUUUGGGAACAUCGGAGAGUGCAGUUUCACACUGGUGCAGUGGAGGCAGGAGUCAAACAGCAGUGAGUUUCAAGGAGUCUCUUAAAGAAGCUUGGAUGAAAAGUACAAAAGUAAAGUCAGACAAUAUCCAGAGGGAGUUGUGGAGUCAAGGAAGUACUUUUGUAGGAAGGAAAAGGGGAAGAGGCCAGUAGACUAAAGGACCUUGAAGGACCCAGAAGAGAGAGAAGAGAUGCCUGGUGAGACAAGAUCCCAGAGAUGGAGGAAAGGGAUGAGGUCAAAGCAGAGGUGAAGGGAUUUUCUCUGGACAGGAGAAACACCACUUCCUAUGACCAAGACGAAGGAAGAGGAUGGAGCCUUCCUAGAGUUUCAGGGAACAAGAACCUGUGGAAGUUCCCCUCUGAUGGCUUCUAUAUGCCCUGUGAAGUAGGAGAUAAGGCCAAUGGCUGGGGUCCAGGGGAAGAGGGAUAAGAGUAGGGAGCAGGAGACAAGAAGAGAAAGGGGAAGGUUUGGGAAGGCUAAUGUAGGGAACUGGAGAAAAACCUCAUCAGUGGGUAGUUCAGGAUUCGGGCACAGUUGGAAGUGAGAACCUAGUUAGAGAAGCAGAGAAUCCAAAUAUUUAAUGGGUUGAUGAUGUGAGGGUGUCAGGGAGGAAGAUCAGGAAAACUAAGCAAAAGAAGGCAUGAGGAUGUGAAGGGAGCAUACAGCACCAAUAGGGAAAGAAAGUGAUGCCAGGAGGCAAAUGACAGAUUGAAAAAGGGAGCAGUCAAAGGAAGAGAAGUCUCUAAUGAGGUACAGUAGCAGACGUAGGGGCAGGGGUUGGAGUACAAGAGACAGUGUUCAGAGGCUGCAGAGCAUAACAUCUUUCAGAUGAGGGCAAGUGAAGGUGAUAAGUGCUUGAAGUAGAGAAAACUGUGGGCCAAGGAUCAAAAUCAGUGAAUGUGGGAAGUCACAAGGGAGUCCAUAGGUUCUUAUGGGAGUAGGAGAUUCCAGCACUAAUGGGCUCUGUGAACCCAGGCAAGUCACUGUCCCUCUUUAGGCUGAGUUUCUGGACCUGUAAAACAGGAAUAACCUCUGUGUUGCCUACUUUCUAUGAGAACCAAAGAAAUAACUAAUUUCAAAGUGCUUUGUAUCCACCUAUCCUCCAGACUGGCUUCCUUCCUCUUCCUAGAUCCCAGAUCCACUUAUCUCUCGCCCUUCUCCAGGGCAACUCUAGGGUCUCCCAGUGUCCCAGAGGCACCACAGAGAACUGCAGCCUCUGGGGCCCAGAGAAGAGGCCAUUCUACAUUUCCUCACAAUUAGGGGGGCCAUCUGUUCCUCCAAGGGAAGGAAUGCAAUCUGGACUGCUAGGAUCCCUGGGGAAAAUCACAGAAUCAAAUGUCUGCCCUUUAGAGGAGAAAGGAUUUUCUAACAAUAAUAUAGCUAUACAAAAGAGAUUGUUAUAUCUCUAGAAGCAAAGUUCCCCAACAGUGGUUAUAUGCCCCAUGAUAACCAUUCACCUAAAACUAAUUCAACUAAUAGUCAACAAUAGAGUUAGGAUUACUAUGAUAAACUCAUUGAAGGAAAUAAUAAGCAGCCAAUACAAACUAUAUUUACGUAGACUGUAAAAAUAUGAAAAAUUGAUUACACAUGGGUUAGUAUCAUAUGCAAUACAUAUUACAUAUUAUGAAAAAAAGACAGGAAACACCAAAUGUUAUUCAUUCAACAAUUACUGACCACCUAUAUGUAUCAGGUCAUGUGUUUAAAAAAAAAAAAAAGAAAA